CCAGACUCCUACGGGAGGCAGCAGUGGGGAAUAUUGCACAAUGGGGGAAACCCUGAUGCAGCGACGCCGCGUGAGCGAUGAAGUAUUUCGGUAUGUAAAGCUCUAUCAGCAGGGAAGAAGAUGACGGUACCUGACUAAGAAGCCCCGGCUAACUACGUGCCAGCAGCCGCGGUAAUACGUAGGGGGCAAGCGUUAUCCGGAUUUACUGGGUGUAAAGGGAGCGUAGACGGCAGCGCAAGUCUGGAGUGAAAUGCCGGGGCCCAACCCCGGAACUGCUUUGGAAACUGUGCAGCUCGAGUGCAGGAGAGGUAAGCGGAAUUCCUAGUGUAGCGGUGAAAUGCGUAGAUAUAAGGAAGAACACCAGUGGCGAAGGCGGAUUACUGGACGAUAACUGACGGUGAGGCGCGAAAGCGUGGGGAGCAAACAGGAUUAGAUACCCCCGUAAGU
rnacentral:rRNA from 1 species